rnacentral:rRNA from 1 species
UACGUAGGGGGCAAGCGUCGUCCGGAUUUAUUGGGCGUAAAGAGCGUGUAGGCGGCUGGGUAGGUCCGUUGUGAAAACUCGAGGCUCAACCUCGAGACGCCGAUGGAAACCCUCCAGCUAGAGUCCGGAAGAGGAGAGUGGAAUUCCUGGUGUAGCGGUGAAAUGCGCAGAUAUCAGGAAGAACACCCGUGGCUAAGGCGGCUCUCUAGUACGGUACUGACGCUGAGACGCGAAAGCGUGGGGAGCAAACAGG